GCCCUUGUAGCUCAGCUGGUAGAGCACCGCUUUUGUAAAGCGGUUGUCGCAAGUUCAAGUCUUGUCGGGGGCU
rnacentral:tRNA from 1 species